GUGAAUCAUCGAAUCUUUGAACGCACCUUGCGCUCCUUGGUAUUCCGAGGAGCAUGCCUGUUUGAGUGUCGUGAAAUUCUCAAUUCCUCCUUUUCUUUGCGGAGAAGGUUGAGUUUGGACUUGGGGAUUGCUGGCUUUGCGUCGGCUUCCCUUGAAUGCAUUAGCUGGAAUUUGAUUUGUAGCGCGUAUGCGGUGUGAUAAUGUCUUCACUGUUGUUGCUCAAGUCAUCUGGCUUCAAAUUAUCCUUUGUGGGACAAUUUUGACUAUUAGACCUCAAAUCAGGUAGGAUUACCCGCUGAACUUAAGCAUAUCAAUAAGCGGAGGA
rnacentral:misc_RNA from 1 species